AAAAUAAGCUGUCAUUAUCGGAAUGAUCAAACACAGAGAGAAAAGAGGCAGAGGUGAGAAGAUGGAGAAGAUGAAUACAUUUGCUUUCAGCAAACCAAUGGAAGUCCAUUUGCAUGAUCUGAAAAGGAAAAUGAGAAGCUAAUUUUUCUAUACAAGGCAGAAUUUAAGAAAUACAAUUCCUAAGGACUCCAGUGGAUACAGCUCUGGUUCCUGGACUUCGUGUUUUGGCUUGGUCUUUCUGCUUUUUCAAUUUUGUCACUGGUAAGACUGGCCCCACCUCACCCAUGAGGAGCACAUUUUCAAGGUUAAAAUGCUGAGUUAAUUAGAGAAAGUGGUGUUAUUAACUGAAUGGCAAUAGAGAAGCAGCAGCAAUUGAG
rnacentral:lncRNA from 1 species